rnacentral:rRNA from 1 species
UAUACUGCAAGUCGAGCGGACGGAUGGGAGCUUGCUCCCUGAAGUCAGCGGCGGACGGGUGAGUAACACGUGGGCAACCUGCCUGUAAGACUGGGAUAACUUCGGGAAACCGGAGCUAAUACCGGAUAAUGCACAGCCUCUCAUGAGGCUAUGCUGAAAGAUGGUUUCGGCUAUCACUUACAGAUGGGCCCGCGGCGCAUUAGCUAGUUGGUGAGGUAACGGCUCACCAAGGCAACGAUGCGUAGCCGACCUGAGAGGGUGAUCGGCCACACUGGGACUGAGACACGGCCCAGACUCCUACGGGAGGCAGCAGUAGGGAAUCUUCCGCAAUGGACGAAAGUCUGACGGAGCAACGCCGCGUGAGUGAUGAAGGUUUUCGGAUCGUAAAACUCUGUUGUCAGGGAAGAACAAGUGCCGGAGUAACUGCCGGCACCUUGACGGUACCUGACCAGAAAGCCACGGCUAACUACGUGCCAGCAGCCGCGGUAAUACGUAGGUGGCAAGCGUUGUCCGGAAUUAUUGGGCGUAAAGCGCGCGCAGGCGGUCUCUUAAGUCUGAUGUGAAAGCCCACGGCUCAACCGUGGAGGGUCAUUGGAAA